ACAAAUGCAGAAAGAUAAGUCCUGCGCUCACUCAUACCCUUUUCUGUCUCAUUAGAGAUUUUUGCCAGAAAGGGGUAUGAGUGAGCGCAGGACUUAUCUUAAAC